UACGUAGGGAGCAAGCGUUGUCCGGAAUCAUUGGGCGUAAAGCGCGCGUAGGUGGCCCUGUAAGUCCGUUGUGAAAGUCAAAGGCUCAACCUUUGAAAGCCGAUGGAUACUGCAGGACUAGAGUACGGAAGAGGCGAGUGGAAUUCCUGGUGUAGCGGUGGAAUGCGCAGAUAUCAGGAGGAACACCAAUAGCGAAGGCAGCUCGCUGGGACGUUACUGACACUGAGGAGCGAAAGCGUGGGGAGCGAACAGG
rnacentral:rRNA from 1 species